ACUACAAUAUAUUUAAUUAAAAAAUUUUAAUAAUAUAAAAGGUUUUUAAAAAUUAUUAUUGAUAAAAAAAAUUUAGUAUUUUAAGUACUGCAAAGGAAAAUAAUUAAGUUUAAAAAAGUAUAAAUUAACUCUAGUACCUUUUGCAUUAUGGUUUAACGAGAUUAAUUUAUAGUAUAAUAAAUUCUAGAAAAAAAAGGAGCUAUAUUUAAACCUUAUUAAUGUGGCAAAAUUAAAAAUGAUUUAUUUAUAGAAGUUAAAUGCUUAUCGACUUUUUUGAUAGCUAGUUAUAAGAGAAAGGUAUGUAAGUACUAGUUGAAGUUAUAUAAUAUUAUUUUCUAAAUUAUUAUAACUUUAACCCCCGUUUUAUUAGGCUAAGCUACUAAAACCAAAAGAAAAUAAUAUAAAAAAUAAUUUAAAUGUAAGCUUAGAAGUUGCUAGCAUAAUAAUAGUCUUUUAACAAUUAAAAUCAAAAAUUAUACUCCGUUUCUUUUUAUCUAUCUUUUCUUAUUUAAAAAUUAAACAUUAAAAUUGUUUAUGUUAAAAUGAGUAUUAAAAUUAAAUAAAGAUUUUAUAAAAACAAGAAUAAAAACUAAUAUACUUUACAAUUAAUAUAAAUAUAAAAAAGGAACUCGGCAAAUAUAUACCUCGCCUGUUUAUCAAAAACAUCGCUCUUUGUAACUUUAUAAAUAAAGAGUCGUGCCUCCCAGUGAAAUUUUUUUAACGGCCGCAGUACCCUGACUGUGCUAAGGUAGCAUAAUCACUUGUUUUUUAAUUGAAAGCUUGUAUGAAUGGGAAUGGCUUGACGCGGGUAAAUCUGUCUCUUUUAUAUUAUUUAGAAAUUAAUUUUUAAGUGAAGAAGCUUAAAUAUAACCAAAAGACGAAAAGACCCUAUCGAGCUUAAAAAUUAAAAUUAAAUUAAAUUUUUUAGAAAAAUAAAUUUUAAUUAAUUUUUUUUAUUGGGGCGAUAAAAGAACAAAUAAAGCUUCUUUUUAUUAAAUAAAUUUAUAAAUUUUUAGAUCCAUAAUUUAUGACUAAAAGAAAAAGCUACCGUAGGGAUAACAGCGUUAUUUUUUCAGAGAGUUCAUAUCGAAGAAAAAGUUUGCGACCUCGAUGUUGGAUUAAAGUAACUUUUAAGUGCAGAAGCUUAAAUAGUGGGUCUGUUCGACCUUUAAAUCUUUACAUGAUCUGAGUUCAGACCGGCGUAAGCCAGGUUGGUUUCUAUCUUUGAAUUUAAAAAAUUAUAUUUUAGUACGAAAGGACCAAAUAUAAUAAAUAAUUUAUUUUUUAAU
rnacentral:rRNA from 1 species